GCUGGGCACAGUGGCACGUGCCUGUAGUCCCAGCUACUCAGUGGCUGAGGUGGGAGGAUCGCUUGAGUCCAGGAGUUCUGGGCUGUAGUGCACUAAGCCGAUCGGGCAUCUGCACUGUUUGGCAUCAAUAUGGUGACCUCCCCGGAGCGGGUACCACCAGGUUGCCUAAGGAGGGGUGAACCGUCCAGGUUGGAAACGGAGCAGGUCAAAACUCCUGUGCUGAUCAGUAGUAGGAUCGCACCUGUGAAUAGCCACUGCACUCCAGCCUGGGCAACAUAGCAAGACCCCAUCUCU
rnacentral:SRP_RNA from 1 species